GACGAACGCUGGCGGCGUGCCUAAUACAUGCAAGUAGAACGCUGAAGCGAGGAGCUUACUCUUCUUGGAUGAGUUGCGAACGGGUGAGUAACGCGUAGGUAACCUGCCUUGUAGCGGGGGAUAACUAUUGGAAACGAUAGCUAAUACCGCAUAACAAUGGAUGACACAUGUCAUUUAUUUGAAAGGGGCAAUUGCUCCACUACAAGAUGGACCUGCGUUGUAUUAGCUAGUAGGUGAGGUAAUGGCUCACCUAGGCGACGAUACAUAGCCGACCUGAGAGGGUGAUCGGCCACACUGGGACUGAGACACGGCCCAGACUCCUACGGGAGGCAGCAGUAGGGAAUCUUCGGCAAUGGGGGCAACCCUGACCGAGCAACGCCGCGUGAGUGAAGAAGGUUUUCGGAUCGUAAAGCUCUGUUGUAAGUCAAGAACGGGUGUGAGAGUGGAAAGUUCACACUGUGACGGAGCUUACCAGAAAGGGACGGCUAACUACGUG
rnacentral:rRNA from 1 species